rnacentral:rRNA from 1 species
GAUAUUGCACAAUGGGCGAAAGCCUGAUGCAGCGACGCCGCGUGAGGGAAGACGGUUUUCGGAUUGUAAACCUCUGUCUUCGGGGAUGAAAAUGACAGUACCCGAGGAGGAAGCCACGGCUAACUACGUGCCAGCAGCCGCGGUAAUACGUAGGUGGCAAGCGUUGUCCGGAAUUACUGGGUGUAAAGGGAGCGUAGGCGGGAGUGCAAGUCCAGUGUUAAAUCUAUCGGCUCAACCGGUAGCUGCGCUGGAAACUGUGCUUCUUGAGUGAAGUAGAGGCAGGCGGAAUCCCUAGUGUAGCGGUGAAAUGCGUAGAUAUUAGGAGGAACACCAGUGGCGAAGGCGGCCUGCUGGGCUUUUACUGACGCUGAGGCUCGAAAGCGUGGGUAGCAAACAGG